rnacentral:rRNA from 1 species
GACGAACGCUGGCGGCGUGCUUAACACAUGCAAGUCGAACGGAAAGGCCCCCAUCUUGGUGGGGGUGCUCGAGUGGCGAACGGGUGAGUAACACGUGGGUGAUCUGCCCUGUACUUCGGGAUAAGCUUGGGAAACUGGUUCUAAUACCGGAUAGGACCAUGGUUUAGUGUCUCAUGGGGGAACGAUUAUUGUUUUGGUGCAGGAUGAGCUCGCGGCCUAUCAGCUUGUUGGUGGGGUACUGGCCUACCAAGGCGUCGACGGGUAGCCGGCCUGAGAGGGUGGACGGCCAGAUUGGGACUGAGAUACCGCCCACCCUCCGACGGGAGGCAGCAGUGGGGAAUCUCGCACAACGGGCGCAAGCCUGAUGCAGCGCCGCCGCGUGGGGGAUGACGGCCUUCGGGUUGUAACCUCCUUUCGUUAGGGACGAAGCCGCACUUUUUUCGGGUGUGGUGACGGUACCUUUGUUAAGAAGCACCGGCUAACUACGUG